rnacentral:rRNA from 1 species
AUACAGAGGGUGCAAGCGUUAAUCGGAAUUACUGGGCGUAAAGCGCACGUAGGUGGUUAGAUAAGUCGGAUGUGAAAGCCCCGAGCUCAACUUGGGAAUUGCAUUCGAUACUGUCUGACUAGAGUAUGAUAGAGGGAAGCGGAAUUCCACAUGUAGCGGUGAAAUGCGUAGAUAUGUGGAGGAACAUCAGUGGCGAAGGCGGCUUCCUGGAUCAAUACUGACACUGAGGUGCGAAAGCGUGGGGAGCAAACAGGAUUAGAAACCCCAGUAGUCC